AAAGAGGCAAAGCGGCACCUUUAUCAUGGUUGUACCAAGUUUUCAAGGUUCUCAUUUGUGGUGAAUCUUCUUCAUUUGAAGUCAUGCCAUAGGAUCACAAAUAGUGCAUUUACUGACAUUUUGAAGCUACUGGUUGAAGCAUUCCCUCAACCCAAUACACUCCCAAAAUCUUAUGAUGAAGCAAAGAAUCUUCUAAAGGAAUUAGGCCUCGGGUAUGAGUCUAUACAUGUGUGCAUCAAUAAUUGUGUUUUGUUCAGAAAGCAAUAUGCCAAGCAUGACAACUGCCCAGUUUGUGGCAUGUCAAGGUGGAAAGACCCUGCUAGAAAGAAGAUACCACAGAAAGUUCUGAGGCAUUUUCCAUUGGUGCCUAGGCUGAAGAGGAUGUUUCUGUCCAAAAAAGCAUCAGAAGAAGCA
rnacentral:rRNA from 1 species